rnacentral:rRNA from 1 species
GAAUAAGGGCGUAUGGUGGAUGCCUAGACUUAAAGAGACGAUGAAGGACGUGGCUUAGCUACGAUAAGCUUCGGGGAGGCGCUGAGCGGCCUUUGAUCCGGAGAUCUCCGAAUGGGGAAACCCAACACCGUAAAUCGGUGUUAUCCCGCCUUUGGCGGGAAGGAAACCCCGGGAAGUGAAACAUCUCAGUACCGGGAGGAAAAGAAAACAAUGUGAUUCCCUGAGUAGCGGCGAGCGAAAUGGGAAUAGCCUAAACCUUACUUUUUAUUAAGUAAGGGGUUGCAAGGUAAUAGCGAAUGAAGCAAUUCUAAGUGAGUUUUAAUCUUGUUAGCUGAAUCCGUUGGAAAGCGGAGCCAAAGAAGGUAAUAGCCCUGUAAACGAAAACAUGAUUAUACUUUCAGUUAUUAUUCUUAAGUACUUCGAGACACGAAUGGCUCGGAGGAAUCUGCCGGAACUAACCGGCAAGGCUAAAUACUCUUUAAGAUCGAUAGUGAACAAGUACCGCGAGGGAAAGGUGAAAAGUAGCCCGAUGAGGGCGUUGAAAUAGAACCUGAAACCAUAUGUCUACAAGGAGUCGAAGUCUCGACGCAAGUCGUGGACGACGGCGUGCCUAUUGAAGAAUGAGCCAACGAGUUAAUUUGUGUUGCUGUCUAAGUCCGAGAGGACGGAGACACAGCGAAAGCGAGUCUUAAAAGGGCGAUCAAAAGUAUUACAAAUUAGACCCGAAGCCAGGUGAACUUGCCAUGGGCAGGAUGAAUUCCGCAGAAAUGCGGGAGGAGGUCCGAACCGGUUAGCCGUGCAAAACUAUCGGAUGACCUGUGGUAUGGAGUGAAAAGCUCAUCGAACCUGGUAAUAGCUGGUUCUCUCCGAAAUAGCUUUAGGGCUAGCGUUUGUCUUACCUUCCGGGGGUAGAGCACUGGAAGGAUUGAACAGGGGGAAACCUCGUCAAUCCUAUCAAACUCCGAAUACCGGAAGUAAUUGGCAGACAGUUAGACUGUGAGGGCUAAGCUUCACUAGUCAAAAGGGAAAGAGCCCAGAUCUCAAUCUAAGGUCCCUAAAUUUCUACUAAGUGCACUUAAGGAGGUGAAAUUUCUCAGACAACGAGGAAGUUGGCUUAGAAGCAGCCAUCUUUUAAAGAAUGCGUAACAGCUCACUCGUUAAGAGAUCUUGCACCGCAAAUAAUCGGGGCUAAGUAGAGUACCGAAGGUGAGGAUGUUCCGCUUUUAGCGGAACAUGGUAGGAGAGUGUUCGCAUCUGCUGUGAAGCUGUGUCGUGAGGCACGGUGGAGCGUUGCGAAGUAAGAAUGUUGGCACAAGUAACCACAAUCAGCCUGAAAACGGCUGACGCCGAAAAUCCAAGGUUUCCUUGGCAAUGACGAUCAACCAAGGGUUAGUCGGGCCUAAGGCAAUGGCGAAAGCCGCAGCCGAUGGACACACGGUUAAUAUUCCGUGACUUCCGUAUUUUUAAUGGAGUGACGAAGAUUAGUAUGCUAGGCGCAUUACUGGAUUUGCGUUAUUGGCGUAAGGAACGCAGGCAGGAAAAUCCGCCCGCGCCCGCAAGGGAAAUUCCAAGCGCAAAUGAAAUAUUCCGUUUAUAGCGGAAUAAAUUUAGCAAAGCAGUCUUCCAAGAAAAGCUUCUAAGCCCCGCUUUAGCGGGGAAAGAAAUACGGAAACCGUACCGAAAACCGACACAGGUGGAUAGGUCGAGAAGACCAAGGCGAACGGGUGAGUUCUUCCCAAGGAACUCGGCAAAAAAGCGACCGUAACUUCGGGAUAAGGUCUGCCCGCCGCAAGGCGGGCCGCAGCGAAAGUUUCUCUGGCGACUGUUUAUCAAAAACACAGCUCCCUGCGAACUCGUAAGAGGAUGUAUAGGGGGUGACACCUGACCAAUGCGAGAAGGUCAAAUACGGAGGGUUUUCGCCGCAAGGCGGAAGCUGGACUGUAUAAGCCCUCGUGAAUGUCGGCCGUAACUAUAACGGUCCUAAGGUAGCGAAAUUCCUUGUCGGGUAAGUUCCGACGCGCACGAAUGGUGUAACGACUGGAGAACUGUCUCGGGAAGUAGCCCGGUGAAAAUACAAUACCGGUGAAGAUGCCGGUUACCUGCAGCUAGACGAAAAGACCCCGGAAGCUUUACUAUA